GCACGUCAUAAUUUCGAAUGCUCCAGUGGUUUAGGAGCACUACAUCAGAUGCUUGUCUUCCCCCAGGAUUCAAGGAAGGCUGCAUUGAUGCUCCUUCCACUCUUGCUACACAGGCAACUCUAUCUAGGAAGGUCACAGUUACAGGAACAGCAACAAAGAAACCUUUAAAGAAGGCUUUGAGGUAUCUUCGCCCAAAACCUUGAGCCUGUGCCAUAACCUUCUCGUAGUGCUGCUCCGCUCGGCGGGGCGGGGGAAAUGGAGCGGCUCCACCGCACCGCUGGGGCCUCCUCGCCGCGCUUGCCCGGCCGGGCUCGGUCACGUGGGCGCACGGCGGCGCCGGGCGCUGCGCGCGGAGGGCGCGGGUCCCGCCGGGGCGGGCGGCAGCUGAGCCGCGCUCCCUGAAAUGGCGGCGUCCUUUCGCCUGGUGCUGCGGAAGGGGCUCCGAGCUGCGGGGCCCUUGUGUGGCGCUCGGGCGUGUCGGGCGUCCUCCCCGCAGCCAGCACGGGCUGGCGGCUCUCGUCCUGUCAACUGACACGUUUUGCAGUCCCGUCCUCGUUUUUUCCUCUGUGUUGGCAGUAUGUGUAGCAGUCCUGUAUUACCACUCACAAUCGGCUUCCGGUCGUCUGUUCUAGAAUUAAAGCUGUUUUCUUCUGUCUAACACAUCAAUGGUUGUUAGGACUUGUGUUUUUGCUUCAAAAUUGAGAGCUUUUUUAUUAUCAGCAUGUGCAAGUGCCACCAUGGUCUGAAGCAGGAGGGUUUUCAGGACAGUUCAUAUAUAUAUUGAGGAGAUAAUGGGCAUGUUUGUGGUAUAAAAUCCCUUCAGGGUUCAUAAGCACACACAAGACCAUCCAAUUCCAGCCCCCCUGCCAUGAGCUGGUUGCCAGCCACCAGCUCAGGCUGCACAGGGCCCCAUCCAGCCUGGUGCCGAACACCUCCAGGGAUGAGGCAACCACAGUUUCUCUGGGCAGUUGUGCCAGCGCUUCACUCUGAGUAUUUCCUUCGAUCAGCUAACCUAAAUCUCCUCUCUUUCAGCUUAAAGUCCUUCCUCUUUGUCUUAUCGCUAUCUGCCUGUGUAAAAAUUUGGUUAUCCUCCUGUUUGUAAGUUCUAUUUAAAUACUGGGAGGCAGCAGUGAGGUUCCACAGCCUUUUGUUCCCCGGGCAGAACAAGCCCAG
rnacentral:lncRNA from 1 species